rnacentral:rRNA from 1 species
UGGGGAAUUUUUCGCAAUGGGCGCAAGCCUGACGAAGCAACGCCGCGUGGAGGAUGAAGGUCUUCGGAUCGUAAACCCCUGUCGAAUGGGACGAAAGACUCGCGAGUGAAUACUUCGCGAGAGUGACGGUACCGUUAAAGGAAGCCACGGCUAACUCUGUGCCAGCAGCCGCGGUAAUACAGAGGUGGCAAGCGUUGUUCGGAAUUACUGGGCGUAAAGGGCGCGUAGGCGGCAAUUCAAGUCAUCUGUGAAAUCUCCGGGCUUAACUCGGAACGGUCAGAUGAUACUGCUUUGCUAGAGUGCAGAAGGGGCAAUCGGAAUUCUUGGUGUAGCGGUGAAAUGCGUAGAUAUCAAGAGGAACACCUGAGGUGAAGACGGGUUGCUGGGCUGACACUGACGCUGAGGCGCGAAAGCCAGGGGAGCAAACGGGAUUAGAUACCCUUGUAGUCCCUGAGCGGGCUGGCAAGGCGCAU